CAGUCGCCGCGGGAAUACGUAGGUGGCUAGCGUUGCUCGGAAUGACUGGGCGUAAAGGGCGCGUAGGCGGCAUGCACAGUCAGAUGUGAAAUUCCUGGGCUUAACCUGGGGGCUGCAUUUGAUACGUGUGAGCUAGAAUGUGAAAGAGGGUCGUGGAAUUCCCAGUGUAGAGGUGAAAUUCGUAGAUAUUGGGAAGAACACCGGUGGCGAAGGCGGCGACCUGGUUCAUGAUUGACGCUGAGGCGCGAAAGCGUGGGGAGCAAACAGGAUUAGAUACCCGCGUAGUCCCUGUCUCUUAUAC
rnacentral:rRNA from 1 species